GGCAGUUCUCGGGUAAGCACCCUGGAAUUGGGCUCCCUCCUCUUUGGUUCCGGGAUGCGUCAUAUGAGAACCACA
rfam:Myotis brandtii contig212276, whole genome shotgun sequence.